rnacentral:RNase_P_RNA from 1 species
CGAGCCGGGCGGACGGCCGCGUGGAGUCCCUUGCGGGACUUCCCGAGGAACGUCCGGGCUCCACAGGGCAGGGUGAUGGCUAACGGCCACCCGGGGUGACCCGCGGGACAGUGCCACAGAAAACAGACCGCCGAGGGCUCCGGCCCCCGGUAAGGGUGAAACGGUGGUGUAAGAGACCACCAGCGCCUGGGGCGACUCAGGCGGCUAGGUAAACCCCACCCGGAGCAAGGUCAAAAGGAAACACCCCGGUGUUUCUGCGCGGACGUCCGAGGGCUGCCCGCCCGAGUCCGCGGGUAGACCGCACGAGGCCGGCGGCAACGCCGGUCCUAGAUGGAUGGCCGUCUCCCCGGCCGCCGCGAGGCGACCGGGUGACAGAACCCGGCGUACAGCCCGACUCGUCUG